ensembl:lncRNA
AAUGCAUUGUUAGUCACAAUGUCUAGUUACUGGGCCAAAAGGAAAAUAAUAUUGAAAAGAGUUGAGAGGGACAAACAGGACAUUCACUUGAAUCACUACAUGCUACAGUUGCAUCGAUUCCAGAAAACCAGGAAAAUAUUGAGCCAUCUGUAGACUUCUGAGCUGAACCAGGUUUCUCCCCAGUAAUCCAGACUCCACUUCACAGAGCCAAGAGUUUGAGUACAACUCGUCAAGUACUAAGCUUUACACCACCAGCAGCAAAUUUACCCUGGCAGCAUAUGGGUGAAAACGCUGGAGGAGAAAGUCAUCGCUUUGUUAUUGACCCUUGGACGCCCCUGGCAUCUCGUGGACAGCACAAAGUUUUCAGCUAUGAAGAUUUCCAGUGACUCCAGAAUGAAAACUAAGCUCUGAGGGAAGAGAACCAAGCCCUGAGGGAAUGCAAUGCACAAGCAGCUUCAGAUGACAGCGGCUCACUUCAAGAGCAGGUGAAGCAAGUAGGCACAAUGUUGAAGACGUUUGCUCUCACUGGGCAAUCAGGUGCGUUACCUGAAAGGAGCAUCUGACUGUGAAGGCAGAAAAAGCCGCACAGCUGAGAAGGACCCACAACCGAUCCCUUAAACCUAGGCUGACCACUGACACCCCAGCAUCACUGAACUGGAACACUUUCUUUAUCCUGCAGUCAGUAACAUCAAGAAGCCAGAAGUGCCAGACUACACUCACCAAAUCCACCCUGUUUUCUUUUGUAUUUUAACUUUAGUAUUGGCUUAUUUCAUUCCGUCUUAACGAUUCUAUUAUAGUUUGUGAAUCCUAUUUCAUACCUGUUACUUGAUAUUGCACAUUAACUACUACCAAAAUUCUACUUCCAUUUCAUCAGUGUGCUUAACUGUUAUUCUAUUAAUAAUAGCUUGGAAAUACUAUUUCGUACCUCUGAUACUUGAUAUUGCACAUUACCUGGUACCAAAUAUUCUACUUACUCUGUUUUUAACAUCAGCAUUUUUCAUUCCAUCACAGUGCUUAACUGUUAUUCUAUUGUUAAAUAUAGCUUGUAAAUCCUUGUGCCACAGGUCAGCAUUGCAGUUAUAAUGGUCUGUUCUACUACUGUUUUUACCUCCGUAUUUUUAUAUAAAUAUAUAUGUCAAGUUUUGUUUAUCACAGAUACAAGAGACACAGAUCUUAUUGCAGCACGGUGUAAAUCUUGUGCUCCAGGUCAGCAAUGCCAUUAUAACGGUCUAUUCUACUCUACUGCUUUACUCUAAAUUAUUACCACUUUUCCUAUUGUUAGAAAUGGCUUGAAAAUGUGAUGUUAUACCUCGAUUUAUUUGGUAUCCUGCACAUUCUUUGGUACCAAAUAUCCUCAUUACUUAUGUUUACUGGUAAUUAUUUUCAUCCCAGAGCUGACCUCUUUAUAUAAUUGACAAUUAUUGUGUUUGUGUUAUAAUUUGCUUAUAUGGCUGUUUUUUUUUAACCAACAUUUUAUUGGAAACCUGCAUGUUCUGUAGUGUGUAUUUAUAAGUAUAUUUUAUUCUGCCUGUUAUUUAUUUCAGUGAUCUGACACAUCUUGUUUGAAUGACAGUUACUGUACUUUGAAAUGUGGAAUUAAAACACCA